rnacentral:rRNA from 1 species
UACGGGGGGUGCGAGCGUUGUCCGGAAUCACUGGGCGUAAAGGGCGCGUAGGCGGUCUGAUAAGGGUGUGGUGAAAGCCCGGGGCUCAACCCCGGGUCGGCCGUGCCGACUGUUAGACUAGAGUGCUGUAGGGGCAGGCGGAAUUCCGGGUGUAGCGGUGGAAUGCGUAGAGAUCCGGAGGAAGACCGGUGGCGAAGGCGGCCUGCUGGGCAGUUACUGACGCUGAGGCGCGACAGCGUGGGGAGCAAACAGG